AACGCUAGCUACAGGCUUAACACAUGCAAGUCGAGGGGCAGCAUGGUCUUAGCUUGCUAAGGCUGAUGGCGACCGGCGCACGGGUGAGUAACACGUAUCCAACCUGCCGUCUACUCUUGGGCAGCCUUCUGAAAGGAAGAUUAAUACAAGAUGGCAUCAUGAGUCCGCAUGUUCACAUGAUUAAAGGUAUUCCGGUAGACGAUGGGGAUGCGUUCCAUUAGAUAGUAGGCGGGGUAACGGCCCACCUAGUCUUCGAUGGAUAGGGGUUCUGAGAGGAAGGUCCCCCACAUUGGAACUGAGACACGGUCCAAACUCCUACGGGAGGCAGCAGUGAGGAAUAUUGGUCAAUGGGCGAGAGCCUGAACCAGCCAAGUAGCGUGAAGGAUGACUGCCCUAUGGGUUGUAAACUUCUUUUAUAAAGGAAUAAAGUCGGGUAUGCAUACCCGUUUGCAUGUACUUUAUGAAUAAGGAUCGGCUAACUCCGUGCCAGCAGCCGCGGUAAUACGGAGGAUCCGAGCGUUAUCCGGAUUUAUUGGGUUUAAAGGGAGCGUAGAUGGAUGUUUAAGUCAGUUGUGAAAGUUUGCGGCUCAACCGUAAAAUUGCAGUUGAUACUGGAUAUCUUGAGUGCAGUCGAGGCAGGCGGAAUUCGUGGUGUAGCGGUGAAAUGCUUAGAUAUCACGAAGAACUCCGAUUG
rnacentral:rRNA from 1 species